GAAUAUUGGUCAAUGGCUGAAAAGCUGAUCCAGCCAUCCCGCGUGAAGGUAGAAGGUCCUAUGGCUUGUAAACUUCUUUUCUCUGGGAAGAAAACCUCUUAUUCAUAAGAGACUGACGGUACCAGAGGAAUAAGCACCGGCUAACUCCGUGCCAGCAGCCGCGGUAACACGGAGGGUGCAAGCGUUAUCCGGAUUCACUGGGUUUAAAGGGUGCGUAGGUGGGCUUGUAAGUCAGUGGUGAAAGCCCGGAGCUUAACUCCGGAACUGCCAUUGAUACUGCAGGCCUUGAGUGCACUUGAGGUGGGCGGAAAACAUCAUGUAGUGGUGAAAUACUUAGAUAUGAUGUAGAACACCGAUUGCGGAGGCAGCUCACUAAAUUGUAACUGACACUGAGGCACGAAAGCGUGGGGAUCAAACAGG
rnacentral:rRNA from 1 species